GGGUGCAAUUAUACCGUACUAAUGUACCGGAUCCCAUCAAAACUCUGCAAUUAGGCGUGCUUGGGCGAGAGUAGUACUAGGAUGGGUGACCUCUUGGAAAAUCCUCGUGUUGCACCCC
rfam:Beta vulgaris subsp. vulgaris chromosome 9, whole genome shotgun sequence.